rnacentral:miRNA from 1 species
UAGUGACACUUUUUAAUGAAAU